CGACGCAGCCACGGGCUGGACAAAACUUGAUUAGCUUAUUACUGCAUCAAUAAUUUGUGCCUGUGGGACUCUUUCACAAAUCAUGUCAACGAGACUAGCAAUUUGAAGAGGCUGCUGCACAUGAUAUGAAGAUAUUGGCAUAUACAGUCCUAAACAUAAGUUUCAAAAUAGCAGGUGUGGAGUUUAGCCCUGUUCCGCUGUAUGGAAAGCCAUGACCUCCACACAGAUGAUGCAAGAGGAAACAAGCUAGACUCACAACUUUGGUUUUCAGGCAUCUUCACCAACAAAUAUUACCCUGCAAAUCAAGGACUUUAGAGCCCGGCCGCAGACCUCACGGAGCACCAACGAUAGCCUCAAGGUGAUUC